CAAAUCCUUCCCUCUCCCUCCCUUUACUGGUUGACUCUGUAUUCGUCCAGUUAGCACAUGUGCCCACCCACAAAGCGACAAGUAGAACUUCACACUCUCGCACCCUGUGCUCAUUCACCAACGCCAGCCACACGCAACACUGAGUCACACCGGGAUGCUAAUAAGAGCUGUGGCUUUCUCCUCUGCUUCCUCUUUUUUUGAGUUAACCUUCUCUGUGAGACCUUCUUUCCAGACGCCCCCCUUGACCCGCUCUCGUCAACCCCAGCCUGAACUGAUGCCAUCCAGCCCAGCUGCGUGAGAGGAUCACCAUCUGCUUGGCCAAAUCCCUCGCCAACUCACCCGUUCCCCAACGUCCCUCACUUCUCAUCUCAAAUCUUCCUUCCGCUUGCACAUCAGCAGGAAGAAUCACCUGCUGAUUUACCUCACUACCCGCUGUCAGAAUUACUGUGGGUUUUUGUUUUUUUUUUUCCACAGGGCCUAACAAAAAAAUCCCAAUUUUGUUUGGUCUUGACUCGUUUGAUUGUUCCCUGGUUCCCACAGCCGAGGCUGUAUUUUAAGUGUGGACACUUAAUUCUCUCGCGCAGACAACCUUGGCUACCAUUUUCUCCCUGACCCGGGCCACCGCACGACAAAGAUGCCGGCAUAAAUCAUACCACCUUUGUUGGUAUCUUGUCAGAUCUUUCAUAAUGUCCUUUUGUAGGGGGUCUGUCAUCUUUACAGCAACAUAAAACCGACAUUGUGCCAGCUUGACCUUAUACUGACUGUAGGCCCAAAAGAAAGACCAUAAAAAACGUUAGACUACAUUAACUUCCAUUGCCGCAUUCUUCUGUCACAACCCAUUUGCCUCCGAUUCUUGCCAUUACACAGCUUAGGAAAUAUUCUUAUUGUUUUUUGGUUUUUUUUCUUUUCUUUUUUUUUUCAGCAGCAGCAGCAGCUCUAUUGAGUUAGGUAACUCAAAACAGGAUGUUUCGCUGUGCAAUUACCGCUUACGAGGAAUGAUGGAGGAACAAACAGAAGCUGAAGUCACAAGGAGAAGUGAUUUCAGUUUCUCUCUGGGUGGAUGUCAAUUGUUUGACGUAAAUCUGCUUCCUGUCCUAUCACAGGGCCAACAGCUGACCCAUGGCUGCCACCCCUGUAUGCUUUU